rnacentral:rRNA from 1 species
GUAGGUGGCAAGCGUUGUCCGGAAUUAUUGGGCGUAAAGCGCGCGCAGGCGGUUCUUUAAGUCUGAUGUGAAAGCCCACGGCUCAACCGUGGAGGGUCAUUGGAAACUGGAGAACUUGAGUACAGAAGAGGAAAGCGGAAUUCCACGUGUAGCGGUGAAAUGCGUAGAGAUGUGGAGGAACACCAGUGGCGAAGGCGGCUUUCUGGUCUGUAACUGACGCUGAGGCGCGAAAGCGUGGGGAGCAAACAGGAUUAGAUACCCUGGUAGUCCACGCCGUAAACCGAUGAGUGCUAAGUGUUAGGGGGGUUUCCGCCCCCCUUAGUGCUGCAGCUAACGCAUUAAGCACUCCGCCCUGGGAGUACGGCCGCAAGGCUG